CCUUUAGAGUUUGAUCCUGGCUCAGGAUGAACGCUGGCGGCGUGCCUAAUACAUGCAAGUCGAGCGAAUGGAUUAAGAGCUUGCUCUUAUGAAGUUAGCGGCGGACGGGUGAGUAACACGUGGGUAACCUGCCCAUAAGACUGGGAUAACUCCGGGAAACCGGGGCUAAUACCGGAUAACAUUUUGAACCGCAUGGUUCGAAAUUGAAAGGCGGCUUCGGCUGUCACUUAUGGAUGGACCCGCGUCGCAUUAGCUAGUUGGUGAGGUAACGGCUCACCAAGGCAACGAUGCGUAGCCGACCUGAGAGGGUGAUCGGCCACACUGGGACUGAGACACGGCCCAGACUCCUACGGGAGGCAGCAGUAGGGAAUCUUCCGCAAUGGACGAAAGUCUGACGGAGCAACGCCGCGUGAGUGAUGAAGGCUUUCGGGUCGUAAAACUCUGUUGUUAGGGAAGAACAAGUGCUAGUUGAAUAAGCUGGCACCUGAC
rnacentral:rRNA from 1 species